rnacentral:rRNA from 1 species
GACGAACGCUGGCGGCGUGCUUAACACAUGCAAGUCGAGCGGAAAGGCCCUUCGGGGUACUCGAGCGGCGAACGGGUGAGUAACACGUGGGCAACCUGCCCCUAGCUCUGGGACAACUCCGGGAAACCGGGGCUAAUACCGGAUAUGACCUUGGAAGACAUCUUCUGGGGUGGAAAGUUUUUCGGCUAGGGAGUGGCCCGGCCGGCCUAUCAGCUUGUUGGUGAGGUAACGGCCCACCAAGGCGACGACGGGUAGCCGGCCUGAGA